rnacentral:lncRNA from 10 species
AUGGCCUUUGGCUAGAGAUUUACUGCAUCCAUCCUUGGAAAAGGAAAAGAAAAGAAAUGGCCAGUGAAAAGUUCAAAUUCUUACUUUGUGGAUAUAACAUGUCCUAGUUGCCACAAGAUUACCAUGUUUUUCAGCCAUGCCCAUGACAGUGGAUCUUUGUGUAGGUUCUUCAACAGUGUUGUGCCAGCCUACAGGAUGAAACACCAAGCUCACAGAAGAGUGUUCAUUUAAAAGAAAGCAACACUAA